UGGGGAAUAUUGGACAAUGGGGGAAACCCUGAUCCAGCCAUGCCGCGUGAAUGAUGAAGGCCUUCGGGUUGUAAAGUUCUUUUGGUGGGGACGAUGAUGACGGUACCCACAGAAUAAGCUCCGGCUAACUUCGUGCCAGCAGCCGCGGUAAUACGAAGGGAGCUAGCGUUGUUCGGAAUUACUGGGCGUAAAGGGCGCGUAGGCGGUCCGAUCAGUCAGAUGUGAAAGCCCUGGGCUUAACCCGGGAAUUGCGUUUGAUACUGUCGGGCUUGAAUUCGGGAGAGGUUGGUGGAAUUCCCAGUGUAGAGGUGAAAUUCGUAGAGAUUGGGAAGAACACCCGUGGCGAAGGCGGCCAACUGGACCGACAUUGACGCUGAGGCGCGAAAGCGUGGGGAGCAAACAGG
rnacentral:rRNA from 1 species